AGACCACGGACACAUAGCCGUUUGCAGCCGGGAGGUUAGGGACUCCUGCUUACGGUGUAUAUCUAGAAGCAGGCUAAUCGAGCUUUAUCCAUCUUCAAACCCAGUAAUGGCCCAUGGAAUGCUUCUCAUGCCUCAAAUCUCUUUGUCUUCCCAUUCUGCUACCUGACUGUAAAGUUCUCACAUGAACUGUGCCACAAUACACAUAUCAAAGACUUGGAACCAAUCCAAAUGCCCAUCAAUCAUAGACUGGAUAAAGAAAAUAUGCACUUCUCCUUCGUGCCAUCAUGUGAAGAAGGAUGUGUUUGCUUCCCCUUCAACCAUGAUUGUAAGUUUCCUGAGGCCUCCGCAGCCAUGCAGAACUGUGAGUCAAUUAAACCUCUUUCCUUUCUAAAUGACACAGUCUUGGGCAGCCCUUUAGAGCAGUGUAAGAACAGACUAAUAUAUACUCUAACAUUAGAAUAUUUUUUAGGUUUAUUGUCAAAAAUACUCUUAUACAUAGCAAGAUGUAUUUAUUUUCUAUUCUAUAAUAUUCACAUAAAAAGAACACGCUUAGUCCAAAACAUAAGUUCUCAAUGUUUUUGAUUCAUUUACAUAUA
ensembl:lncRNA novel transcript